CUACGGGAGGCAGCAGUGGGGAAUAUUGCACAAUGGACGAAAGUCUGAUGCAGCAACGCCGCGUGGAGGAUGACACAUUUCGGUGCGUAAACUCCUUUUAUAUGAGAAGAUAAUGACGGUAUUAUAUGAAUAAGCACCGGCUAACUCCGUGCCAGCAGCCGCGGUAAUACGGGGGGUGCAAGCGUUACUCGGAAUCACUGGGCGUAAAGAGCAUGUAGGCGGAUUAAUAAGUUUGAAGUGAAAUCCUAUAGCUUAACUAUAGAACUGCUUUGAAAACUGUUAAUCUAGAAUGUGGGAGAGGUAGAUGGAAUUUCUGGUGUAGGGGUAAAAUCCGUAGAGAUCAGAAGGAAUACCGAUUGCGAAGGCGAUCUACUGGAACAUUAUUGACGCUGAGAUGCGAAAGCGUGGGGAGCAAACAGGAUUAGAUACCCCGGU
rnacentral:rRNA from 1 species